GAAAGACACAGGUCCCGGAUGAAGCAAGGCCUUGGAAGCCGGCUGCUAGAUCUGAUGUUAACCUUUAGUUUCAAGAUUGGGGACAUUGGGGAAGGGGAUUUGAAUAGCUCAGUUUGGAGGGUGGUUGGUGCAGCAGCUGUUUACCAACCAUUUUAUCAAUCUGUAAGGCUCUAAGACUGACACAUUCUCAUUGCAUUUUAACAUUUCUGAAGUUGGGAUGCUUGUUUUUCAGUCAAUUCAGUUUAAUGAAAUAACAGGAACCUUGCCAGCAUCAUGCAUUGCAGUUUUUAAAGCCACAAAGGAGAUAGUCCUGACACCUGAUAGGGACCACCUGCUUUAGGAGGGAUUUAAAAGGUUUGUGAUUGAGGCCUUUAGCACAGAUGUGGGUCAACAGGUAAGUUUGGGCAGAGAAUUGAUGGGAGAUGAAGCACAGAGUUCAUUAUUAUUUCUGAAGGGUCCGGUUAAAGUUGAAGGUUUGGGCAGUGAACAUGUAUGUGCAACUCUGGGUCAGCCUCCCCAGUUCGUCAGGGUGUGGUGGUGUCCAGUGGACAGUUACAAGUCACAAGUAAGGAGAUGAUCUCCUUAACCUGAAGUUUGGGGACUCCCUAGACAAGUUCCUGGAGGCCCAUGAACUCUCGAUGUAUGCACAGUGAGUUGUAUAUAUUGCAUGUUGGGGCCUAGCUGUAUUUUUCUAGGCACCAGGUCUGAAAUUUGGCUUAGAUUCCUAAAGAGAUAUAUAAUUCCUGUCUUAGUUCAGGCUCCUAUAACAGAAUACCAUAAACUGGGUGACUUACAUAACAUUCAUUUCUCACAGUUCUGGAGUCUAGAAGCCAGAUUCAGAGUGUUAAAGCAUGGUUGGGUUCUGGUAGGGACCCUAUUCCAGGCUGCAGACUGGCAACUUCUUAUAUCCUCACAUCGCCCAAAGAAUCCCUUUGGGCGCUCUGGUCCCUUUUUUGUCUUAUAUAAAGCAGCCCCCCCCCCCCCCCCCAUUCAUGAGGGCUUUAUCCCCAAGGCCUAAUUGCCUCCGAAAAGCCCCACCUCCAAAUACCAUCAUAUUGGGUAUUAGAUUUCAACAUGUGAAUUUUGGGAAGAUGUGUUCAGUCCAUAACAACCCCCAAAGUGUUAAGUACCCCUAGACUAUACUGUAAGAACUGGCAAGGGUGUUUGCAAUAAUCUUGCCCUAAAUUGGUAUAUAACAGUGAAUGUAUAGCUAAGUAAUUUAUACAUACCAUAAACAUGUAGCUAAGUAAUUUGUACAUACCAUAGAACUUUGUACAGCCAUAAAUCAUAUUUGAUUGUUCACAAUUACAGCUGAAUAUAGACUGGAUAUUAGGUGAUGUGAAGACUUAUUGUUAAUUUUGUUAGUGUGGUGCCAUUUUGUGAGAUGCUAUUUUUUAGAGAUGUAACCUUAAACUAUUUAGAGCUGAAAUGUAGUCAUAUCUAAUUUAAAGUAGUUUAGCAAUAUACAUAAAUAAAAUAUGGCACUAUGUGAACAAUCGUUAAAUAUAAGUGAUGAUUAUGAGCCUGUUCAUUGCUUUCCUUGUAUAUUAGAAAAAUUUCACAAUAAAACCAUUUUUAAAAAUUA